rnacentral:misc_RNA from 1 species
AACGCACAUUGCGCCCGCCAGUACUCUGGCGGGCAUGCCUGUCCGAGCGUCAUUCACACCACUCGAGCCCCUCCGGGGGGUCGGCGUUGGGGACCGGGACCGGGAACCCCCCACCGGGGGGAACCCGCCCGCCCCCCAAAUAUAGUGGCGGCCGCGCCGUCGCCUCCUCUGCGUAGUAGUGCAAGCAACCUCGCUCUGGAGCGCGCCGCGGUCCCGCCGUAAAACCCCCAACUCCUGAAUGUUGACCUCGGAUCAGGUAGGAAUACCCGCUGAACUUAA